rnacentral:rRNA from 1 species
GACUACACGAAGCUGGAAUCGCUAGUAAUCGCGGAUCAGAAUGCCGCGGUGAAUACGUUCCCGGGUCUUGUACACACCGCCCGUCACACCAUGGGAGUCGGGAAUGCCCGAAGCCUGUGACUGAACCGAGAGGGAGGAGCAGUCGAAGGCAGGCCUGAUGACUGGGGUGAAGUCGUAACAAGGUACC